AGCGAAUAGAUACCCUGGUAGUCCAUGCCGUAAACGAUGAGUGCUAAGUGUUAGGGGGUUUCCGCCCCUUAGUGCUGCAGCUAACGCAUUAAGCACUCCGCCUGGGGAGUACGACCGCAAGGUUGAAACUCAAAGGAAUUGACGGGGGCCCGCACAAGCGGUGGAGCAUGUGGUUUAAUUCGAAGCAACGCGAAGAACCUUACCAGGUCUUGACAUCCCAGUGACCGCUCUAGAGAUAGAGUUUUCCCUUCGGGGACAUUGGUGACAGGUGGUGCAUGGUUGUCGUCAGCUCGUGUCGUGAGAUGUUGGGUUAAGUCCCGCAACGAGCGCAACCCUUAAUCUUAGUUGCCAUCAUUUAGUUGGGCACUCUAAGGUGACUGCCGGUGACAAACCGGAGGAAGGUGGGGAUGACGUCAAAUCAUCAUGCCCCUUAUGACCUGGGCUACACACGUGCUACAAUGGACGGUACAAAGAGUCGCUAACUCGCGAGAGUAUGCUAAUCUCAUAAAACCGUUCUCAGUUCGG
rnacentral:rRNA from 1 species